UACAGAGGGUGCAAGCGUUGUUCGGAAUUAUUGGGCGUAAAGCGCGUGUAGGCGGCUUUGCAAGUCGGGUGUGAAAGCCCUCAGCUUAACUGAGGAAGUGCGCCCGAAACUGCAGAGCUGGAGUACCGGAGAGGGUGGCGGAAUUCACCAAGUAGAGGUGAAAUUCGUAGAUAUGGGGAGGAACACCGGUGGCGAAGGCGGCCACCUGGACGGAUACUGACGCUGAGACGCGAAAGCGUGGGGAGCAAACAGG
rnacentral:rRNA from 1 species